rnacentral:rRNA from 1 species
ACGCUCGACACCUACGGGAAGCAGCAGUAGGGAAUCUUCCACAAUGGGCGCAAGCCUGAUGGAGCAACACCGCGUGAGUGAAGAAGGGUUUCGGCUCGUAAAGCUCUGUUGUUGGAGAAGAACGUGCGUGAGAGUAACUGUUCACGCAGUGACGGUAUCCAACCAGAAAGUCACGGCUAACUACGUGCCAACAGCCGCGGUAAUCUGAGCGGGCUGGCAAGGC